GGCCGAUAACGCAGAGAGCGGAGACAGUGGGAUCAACGGUGACCUCCAGCUUCACACCCAAUCGUUGGCCCGGCGGGGCUUUGAAGUGGCGAGGAGUUCUGGGAAGAGACGAAAAGACCAAAUCGCCGGAGCUGCUUUCCCGGCCUUGAGUCCUCGCUUAUCGCGAUCGUCGGGUGACGGGAGGUCAGGCUCCCAUCAGCUCGCCGUGCGAUGGAAGAAGUCCGAUGGCGUUGAACAAUGUAUGGCCAAGAGGGGAGUUGGCGCCAAAUCCGAACCGGAUAAUCACCCCAAAAAUCUCUUGGGCGAAAGGUGAGAAAAGCAGCCUCUCAAACUGUUAAUCUCCCACUUAAG
ensembl:lncRNA